AACCCCCAGCUAGGCUGGGGGUUCCGGAAAGCUUUCCAGCUUUAAGCCAGUUAUUAAAACCCCUUUUGAUUUGUUAAAAC
rnacentral:sRNA from 1 species